rnacentral:rRNA from 1 species
UACGUAGGGGGCGAGCGUUGUCCGGAGUUACUGGGCGUAAAGGGCGUGCAGGCGGUUUUCUAAGUUCGGAGUGACAGUUCCCGGCUCAACUGGGGAAGGCCUACCGAAAACUGGAGAACUUGAGGGCCAGAGAGGGACAUAGAAUUCCGGGUGGAGUGGUGAAAUGCGUAGAUAUCCGGAGGAAUACCAAAGGCGAAGGCAGUGUCCUGGCUGGCAUCUGACGCUGAGGCGCGAAAGCUAGGGGAGCGAACAGG